UACGUAGGGUGCAAGCGUUAAUCGGAAUUACUGGGCGUAAAGCGUGCGCAGGCGGUGAUGUAAGUCAGACGUGAAAUCCCUCGGCUUAACCGGGGAACUGCGUCUGAUACUGGAUGGCUUGAGUUCGGGAGAGGGAUGCGGAAUUCCAGGUGUAGCGGUGAAAUGCGUAGAUAUCUGGAGGAACACCGGUGGCGAAGGCGGCAUCCUGGACCGACACUGACGCUGAUGAGCGAAAGCCAGGGGAGCAAACGGG
rnacentral:rRNA from 1 species